rnacentral:lncRNA from 1 species
AGGACCAAAUCUAUUUUUCCAUCGCCCUUCAAUGGUAAACCCUUAUCUGUUUGUGCGACCACCGUUCCAUUCGCCAUCGGCUGUGACAUUGUCGAGGAUUCGCAGGCCUCCCCUGUAGCUCUCUCUGGUUUUUCCAUUGUGACGCAUAUGGUAAGAUUUUUAAACCAAUUUCAUCACUGUUUCCAUGCAUAGUUAACAAGAUGUGAAACUGGACUUCAUGGAAUUGAUUUCUUUGGUGAUUAAGCUGAUUUCCCCUAAUUGAUUCUAGCAUAGUAGCAUUUUUGAAUAUUUUCUUAGGUGUUGUAGUGACCAAUUAACCUUAUCAACCUCUAGCAGUAACUACAAUAGCCAAAUAGAAGACAAAAAUGCCAUUACUUCUUCUGUUGGUUUAUUUCCCACAACUUCACCAUACUUCUAUUCUGAUGCCAAUUUUGCUUAUAAUGAGUGUUUAUCGAGAAUAUCUGAAAUCUAGAACUAGGCGCCAAAAAUAUAGAGAUUAGCAUAAAUGUGGUGAGGAUUGUCUAGUUACGAAUUUGGGACUGGUGUGGCCUAAUUCAAGGUUUGCUUGUGGAUGAUGGUACCUUGUAAACAACUUAAUUUACUUGUGAAUCUGAUAUGUUUGUUGAUAAUUGAAGAAGCAGAUAAGUGGUAGGAUUUAGAAAUAUUAGAAGUGGAAUGCAUGGACUAGUAAAACCGUAUGGUUUAUUACAUUGAUGGUUAGUACAACACUUAAGUCUUAGUGUUGCCACACAUACAUGGUGAGGCACUAAUGCCUAUUUAUAGCUGGAGUCACCGCCUUGAUUUUGGCGGUUUAUUAUAUGAUACAAUUGGAUCAUUCUAGAGUUUAGAAACAUCAAAAUAGUCUAUGUGCUUUCUAUAAUAGUGUAGAUUUUAAAAGAUAAUUCUAGAAAUUUGCAUCAAUUCUUAACAAUGUUUAACCUCUUACAUUUUCCUUCAAUGUAUACAUCUUAGCAAGCUAUCUCUAUGGUGGAGAUUUUGUAUGAUAAUUCGAUUAGCUCAUUAAGUUAAUUCAAUCAUGUUUCUGGGAAAUAACUUUUUGGUAUUUAAAUUAUUUCUGUAGCAUAGUCUUUAGGUUGAUUCUACUGCUUAAAUGAAAAUAUUCUGUCUGUGCUUUUUCCUUGCUUCAACUUGGGUGUGUGUUAAAAGCUUGCUCCUGUGGAUGUUGACAUGGCAAGGUUCUUGCUAACAAUCAGAAAUGUUUAUGUGCUCUUAUUUUAAAUGGUUGAACUCACUGGACAAGUUUUUGAAGUAAUAAAGUAAGAAACAAUUUUUUUAAAAAGGAUAUAAUUCUUGAAGAAGUCAAUUUAAUGUGAAGCUUAAAGAUUAGGAGGAGUGAUUUCAUUUGAUUAGCUCAUAGUUCUGAGUUUAUCUAAUGCUGGUUAUAGGUAUUAUGAUUACAUUUACUUGUAUAGACUGACUAAUUUAUUUCCUAUAUACAUUAGACCCCCAAAGUAUAAGCAAGAUAUCACACACACAGAAAUGGGGAUGAUGAGAAGAAAAAGAAUAUUGUUUUUGUUUCUAAUGACCAGAUGAGGAAUUGGGUGAAUGAGAUAGAACAUUAUGCUAUUCUGGUCAACAUACUGGUCUGGUCAAAUCUAAAAUCUUGUAGGCCACCUUUGAUCUGGGGUCUGUUAUGAUCGUGAAAGAUUAGCAAACCCUAACAUUGGUAGUUGCUUUGUUUCUUUGUUGGUUGUAUGUUUCUGGCUUCUUUUGAUAUGAAAAUAUUAUUUUUUGCAAGAGUUAAUCGCUUUAAUAUUUUUUUUCAGUAACACCUAGCAAAUUGAAAUGAGAGAGUUCUGCUUUGAAUUAUCUAUUUGGUUGGCAGUAAUUAGUAUGUCUAUGAAAUUUAACUUUCUCUGUUUUCCUUGGACUUCAUGGCAUAAGAAAAGUUCACAUAGGCGGUUAAAAAGGCAUAAAGCCACAUAAAAAUUAACUUGAACUCUUUGGCAUUUAAUUUAUCUUCUUUUCUACUUUCAGUACUCUAUGAAGACCCGGAACUUUAAAAUUAGAGCCACAUGGAAAUUUCAUCAUCCUAGAGACCAAGUUGGGAACUGAGAUCGCUGGAAGAGUUGCCUUAAGCAUUUUCACUGUGGUGUGAGAGUGUUGGCGGUUCACAGUCAAUGAUGUCAUGCUCAUAUCAUGGUCACUUCGGGUAAUUAACUUCAAAUAUUUUCAUUUUCUAUUUGCUUAUAUAUAGUUUCAUGAGAAUUUCUCAAAACUUAUGAAAAAGAUGGGAGUGUUUAGGUCACGGGUUCUUAAAUUAAGGUCUUGUUUUCUAGUUGUCGGUAUGUUUGGAUUGACAGAACAUAACAGAGCAGAACGAAUUGAAAUAUAAUGGAACAGAUAGAGCGGAAUGAAAUGGAAUAAAAAUCUCAUCCCAUUGUUUGGGUAUUUUAUGAUAACACGAAACAAAAUCACCACUCCCUUAUUUGGAUAAUGGACGGAGCGGAAUGAGUUAUAACUUUUUUAUUCCUAUAUUACCUUUCUUUAAAUAAUAAAAUUCUCAUUAAAUUAUUAAAAUGAUUAACAAAAUAAUUUUUUAGAGGAAUUAACAAAAUCAUUAUCCUUGCUAAACUCUCAUUAUAUCUAUUUACUCAAAUUAAAUUAUAUCCUCAUCAUUUAUCUACAGUAAACUAUACUAGUAUAUGCCAAUAUUUUUUUAUAAAACGUACUGAACAUAAUAGAACACUAUCGAAAAAAGUAAACGAAAAAUAAAAGAAUGCAACAGUUGGAAAAAAAAAUAGUUUGUUGACAAAUAAAAGAAUAUGUAUACAUUAGUAUUAAUAAUUAAAUAUGAACAGUAUCAUUAUAUUACCUUUCGUAAGCUGUAAUGUUUUAUUUUUGCUAGAUAUGUUAAAAUAAUGUUGGAACUUGGUUGUUUGUGUGAGGGGAGAGAGUAGAGACUCACGGAGAGAGAGUGGGAGAGAGUGGGAGAGACUAUUAAGUUAAGGGCUAGAAAUCUAGAAUUGUAAAUUGAUAAUUUUUAUAAGUGUAAAAUCUUGAUUUCAUCCCAUACCUUCCAAAUUGAGGGAAGCAAAAUGAUGGAAACUAAUCUCAUCUCAUUUCCAUCUCAUCCCACCUUUUCAUAACAUAUCCAAACAAUAGAACAUAAAAAUAUUUCACUCCAUCUCAUCUCACCCCACUCCCUGCCACCAAUCCAAAUAUAGCCUAAUGAUGGCAUAGUGUAUAUUUGACUGUGGAUAAAUGAUGAAGAUAUAAACUAAUUAGAGUAAAUAGAUAUGAUGAGAUUUUAGCAAGGUAAUUAUUUUGUUAAUUAUUUUUGUAGUUUAAUGAUAAUCUUUUAUUUUAAAGCAAAGGUAAUGUAGGAAUUAAAAAGUUAUAACUCAUUCCGCUCCAUCCAUUAUCCAAAAAGGGGCGUGGUAACUUUAAUUUGUUAUGUUCCAUCAUUAAAUACCCAAACAAUGGGAUGAGAUUUUUAUUCCAUUCUGUUCUGCUCCAUUAUAUUUCAUUACGUUCCGCUCCGUUAUGUUUCAUCAAUCCAGCCUAAAUGUUUGCAUAGAUUAACACAUCACGAUAGCAAAAUAACAAUAUAAGGAACAAUGGCUGAAAAUGGUGGGUGGAUGGUUGACCAAAAAUAUGUAUACUGCAUGUUUGCACAAACUAUAUAUUAAUUAAUCAGGUUCUAGUACUUUUUGAGAUAAAUAUGUUGAGAUUGAUACUUUGAGACACUAUUACAACACUAGUAGCAGAUUAGGUAGACCAUCACAACACGUUCAACAGAGGAAUAUGUAGCAGCAAAUGCUAGGAUAAGCUAACUUCAAUUUUAGAAUUGAGAACUUAAUUUUCAAGUAUACACUAUUUGUUCCCCUUCUUCAUGUAACUUUUGUCAUGGACAUGAUUAAAGUUGUAUAGUGCAAUUUCUCAAACUCAAUGGCUUGUGAAAUCUUGUGUGCAAACCUUGAGAAUAAUUCAUCCAUGAUACCUUUGCCAAAUGCGGCAGAGUAAAGUGGUUCCACGACGGAUCUGAGGGUCUUGGAAAUUAACUCUCCUUUAAUUUUGGUAUCCAUGUCAUGUGGAAGGUGUCCAUCCAAACUUAUUUGGAUAGUUUUCAGUGUUUGAAGGGUAAAAGAUCCUUCUGCCUCAAUUAUUUGUUUGACUUCCUCCACAGUAGGAAUAUAUAUAGGCAUAUUAAAGCAAUCUAAUUUAGUCUCUUCAAGCAAACCCUGCAUUUAUAUUAAUUUAUAGGGAACAAUAUUAGUUACUACCAAAUAGGAAUAACAUGUUAUAAACUACAGAAAAACAUUACAUUCCAGUUAGUUUCUUGAAAAUCUAGUAAUAAUGGUAAUCAAAAUUGUAUUCGUUGCAUACCUCCAAGACCAUGUCCUUCAGUACCAACUCAAUUAAGUCCUGCGUAGUACCCUUUUCAAAUGCAGCAUUUUCUCUUCCCAGUAAAGAUAGUACCAUACUUCCAUCAAGUGUUAGUUCGUUCGAACGUGAUCGAAGAAAUAGAUUGAAAUCUCUUUGGAAUUGCUCAAAAUAUGCUUUAUACACUAUUUUAGGACUUUUGAUUGUUAAAUAAAUAUGACCCUUGUUCAGUGGUUCUGCCCCUUUAGUCAAUUCUUCUGGAGACUGUUCCGGAAAAAGCAAUAGACACACACAAAUGAUAUUAUUUUGUGCUUUGCUUCACAAACACAACUUUAACAACUUUAAUAUAUAUAUUAAUAAAUACCUGCGAGAGCCAAUGAAGACUAUUCGAAGAAUGAAAGAAAUCGAUGUAAUUAUUAGGAAAGAGCCUCCCAUAGAAGUUCCCUGGAGUUGCAUUUAUAAAGCAUGCUCCAGCUUUGUCUCCCCUAUCUUGUAUCUUUUGGUAGAAAUCAGGAAGUAACUUGAAGAUACCAUUAAAAUCGUUUCCAAAAAGAUCACUAAGAUAAACUUGGAGUAUGGGCACCUCUUGCUUUGAGCCCAAUCUAGUUGUGUUGAUGACGCUCAUUAUAUCGGACACGACCAGAAGUGAAUUUGGUCCUGAAGAGCAUCCUAAAUCUGCCACUUUCAAAUUACUUUUAAAAGUGGUGUGAUGCAACAAUGUCUUAAUACUUUCUUCUAGUAUUGACUUCAUUUCAAAUAACACUUUUCUCUGCAAUAAAAAAAACUUGGUUACAACAAUGACGACGCCAACAAUAAUAAGCCAAAUGUUAUCCCAUAAUCUUAGGGACAGCUGUGAUAUAAAAAAUUCAAAAUGAUGAUCUGUAGGUUAUUAGCUGAAUCUGUUUUAUUUUGGCAUUCCUUGAGAUUUUCUCUAUGGUGUUAUGAUGUUAUAGGGAUGCCAUUUUAGAAACUGAGGUUUAUUUUGAAAUUUUUUGGGGUGGUGUUUUGGAUGAGAUUUUAUUGUAUAAGGUUGUAUAUCCGUCAUGAGAAUGGUUGUUUCUCAUGUUCUCUUAAUUUUAUGAAUAUAACUCUUGCUUUAAAAAGAAUUAUUUUUCAAUAAAAAAUUAUAUUUUCUAUAAUUUUUUUACCAGAAGUUCGAGGGAGAGUAGAAGUAGUAACAAGAAGAGAAUGCAUACAAUGGAAAAGUUCAAGGGAGCAUAUGAUUAUUGAGUAGGCAGCUGAGGUUCUUUCUCCCUUGAGAAAUUAAUCCGGUAAGUUAAAUAUUAAUUCGAUCUCUUUACUUACUAUUGACACCAAAAUAUUGGCUGAUGCAGAAUGGUUGUAAACUAAUUUAAUCGAGUCAAGGUUAGCUCAGAGCAGACAAGUUUAUUUUUUAUAUGCUAAAUAAUGAUAUUAAUGUGGAGCACAAGGGGUGCCCCAUCCGAUACAAAGGAAAAACAAAAGUCUAAAUAACAAGAAACAUCCUACAGCGUUCAAAUGAAGUAAAAAUCACAUACUCUAUAAAACUGACACAUUUCAACGGGCUUUGCCAACAAAUGAGAAGCGUUUUCGGAAUCCUUUGAGCUCUACGGCAGCAUGCUCCAGAUGUGGUUCCGAUUCAGAGGAUGCCAACCAUGUUUUUUGAGGAUGCCCUGACUCGCAGAACUUGUGGAGGAGCCUUGGUCCCUUGCUGCCGCGGCUUGACACUCAUG